AUGCUGCACCUUUGGCACAGCGCGACUUCCCUGGCCCUCCCCCUGCGGACCAGUGAACCUCGCCCGAGGGCUCAAUAAAGAAGAUUUUUGCCCUCUUUUUCUCACCUCUCAGCCUUAUUGAUCCAUGGUGCCCUUCCAUUGCCUUUCAUUGGUGCCGAAACCCGGGAGGGGACACCUCCUAAGCCCCCCCAGAGGCUCAGGGGGACUCCCCUCCUGGUCGGAUCAGUCCUCUCCCUCAGUCAGGUCAGGCUUCUCCUCCACGGCCAUCUGUCCAUUUCGUCCGGUUACUUGCUGCCAGGUCGCAGUUGCUGCAGCUACUCCAGUCCAAUUCGGCCGACGCUAGUUGCCUGGCUGCAAUAUACCUUGGACAACCAAUCUCGCUGGCCCCCCAAAGGCACACUCGACUUCAAUAUCCUAAACGACCUUACCAAUUUUUGUCAGAGGCGAGGCAAAUAGUCAAAAAUCAAAUUUGUUCAAAGGUUCUGGGACCUCCGCUCUCGUCGGACCGCUGCCGCCAAGUGUUUUCGCUGGCACAAGUCCCUGUGGCUAGCCUUCCCCUUGAAGUCUGGCCAGCCUCUCUUGCCGUUAAUCCUGUCCGGGGCCCCCAUCUUAGUCUCUCUGCCGCCAUCUCCUUCUGCACUGCCGCCAUCUUACUACCUGCUUCCUCACUGCCGCCAUCUUACUUCCUUUUUUCUCUGCUGCCAUUUUAGUUCUUCUGCCACCAUUCGGCUGCCAUUUUAAUUCCCAUUAGUUCCCAUUUGUUCUUUUAACCCUGCCCAGCUAACUCCUUGGCUUCCAUCUUACCCGCAUUCUUAUUUCCACCUGCCUAUAGUGCCAUACCAGUCCACUGCAUCUACAACUCCUAACACAUUCGCUGCGGGCAGUGAUAUCCACUAAUCCUGGAUGAGGCAGCGGAGGGCCCCCAAACCCCUAUCCAGGACUUAGUAAAGCUGGCGUUCAAAGUUUUUAAUUCCUGAGAGGAGGCGGCUGAGGUACAACGACAGGCAAGCCUGAAACAAAAAGUUCAGCUCCAAACCCAAGCCCUGGCAGCUGCCCUGCAACCGGCAUUCCCUAAGAGCCGCGGCAGGAGAGGUAGAGGUACAAUCUCCCGGGCCCCGUCUGGCGUCUGCUUCAAGUGAGGCAACUCAGGACACUGGGCCAGCCGGUGCCCUAGCCAACAGCAACCGUCCUGCCCGCCUUGCAACUGUUUCAAGUGUGGCAAUCCAGGUCAUUGGGCAAAACAGUGCCCAAACCCCAAGCCGCCAACACACCCGUGCCCUAACUGCCAACAAAUGGAGCACUGGAGGUCAGACUGCCCCAGCCUCGGAGCGGCCGCUGUGGCUCCACAUGGCGACCCCUCCCUGGAUGGCGAAGGUGCCCUCUAGCUCCUCCAACUGGAUGACGACUGAAGAGGCCCAGGCUCGGGAACCCCUCUCACCCUUGCCGAGCCCAGGGUAAUGCUUCAGGUAGCGGUCAAACAGGUGACAACCACACUUGGCGUUAACUGGAAGCUACACACUCCAUACCAUCCGCAGUCUUCUGGAAAAGUGGAAUGCGCCAACGGCCUUGUCAAACAACACCUAAUCAAAUUGGCUCUCGAGAAGCGCCAAUCGUGG
rnacentral:lncRNA from 1 species